rnacentral:rRNA from 1 species
GACGAACGCUGGCGGCGUGCUUAACACAUGCAAGUCGAACGGAAAGGCCCUGCUUUUGUGGGGUGCUCGAGUGGCGAACGGGUGAGUAACACGUGAGUAACCUGCCCUUGACUUUGGGAUAACUUCAGGAAACUGGGGCUAAUACCGGAUAGGAGCUCCUGCUGCAUGGUGGGGGUUGGAAAGUUUCGGCGGUUGGGGAUGGACUCGCGGCUUAUCAGCUUGUUGGUGGGGUAGUGGCUUACCAAGGCUCUGACGGGUAGCCGGCCUGAGAGGGUGACCGGCCACAUUGGGACUGAGAUACGGCCCAGACUCCUACGGGAGGCAGCAGUGGGGAAUAUUGCACAAUGGGCGGAAGCCUGAUGCAGCAACGCCGCGUGCGGGAUGACGGCCUUCGGGUUGUAAACCGCUUUCGCCUGUGACGAAGCGUGAGUGACGGUAAUGGGUAAAAAAGCACCGGCUAACUACGUG